UGGGGAAUAUUGGGCAAUGGAGGAAACUCUGACCCAGCGACGCCGCGUGCGGGAUGAAGGCCUUCGGGUUGUAAACCGCUUUCAGCAGGGAAGAAACUAACGNGACNGNNCCUGCAAAANAAGCNCCGGUUAACUAUGUG
rnacentral:rRNA from 1 species